rnacentral:misc_RNA from 1 species
GAUGAAGAACGCAGCGAAAUGCGAUAAGUAAUGUGAAUUGCAGAAUUCAGUGAAUCAUCGAAUCUUUGAACGCACAUUGCGCCCCCCAGUAUUCUGGCGGGCAUGCCUGUUCGAGCGUCAUUUCAACCAUCAAGCCCUGCUUGUGUUGGGGUCCUGCGGCUGCCCGCAGGCCCUGAAAACCAGUGGCGGGCUCGCUAGUCACACCGAGCGCAGUAGCACAUCUCGCUCAGGGCGUGCGGCGGGCUCCAGCCGUUAAAGCACCCACCUUUCGCAAGGUUGACCUCGGAUCAGGUAGGGAUACCCGCUGAACUUAAGCAUAUCAAUAAGCGGAGGA